CCUACUCCUCCCCGGCGCACCUCCGCGUCUCGACUGACCGCCCGCCCGCCGCGCCCGCGCGGCCGGCAGGAGUUGCCCGGACCCGGCAGAGUUCCCACACCCGCGCGGCCGGCCGGAGCUGCACGCGCACGCGGCGGAGCUCCGGCCCGCCUGGCCAGCUGGAGCCGCCCCCUACGCGGCGGAGCUCCCACCCCCACGGCCGCCCGGAGCCGCACCCCCACGGCCGGAGCUGCUUUCUUGGCCUUGGCGGGGCGGCGGCGUCUCGGCCGUCUCCUCUCUCUUUCCAGCACCAGCGCCGCUCUCGUGCUCCUCGGAGGAGAGGGAGAGGCUGCGCGUGGUACAUCGGUGGUGGGGCAGCCAGCCCAGCAUCCUUGCCGCGCUCCAGCCGUGGCGGCGGCGGCGGAUCUGCUCUAGCCAGUGACUGCUCCGAGCUGCAGCUUGCUUGCCGCCAGCCCCGAGCUGCAUGCUCGCUGCCACCACUUCCAAGCUCAGAUCCGCUUGGCGUUGCCCCCAAUCUCCGCGGCGUGCCUCCCACGCGAGCGGCGACCCCAUCCCUGCGCACGCUCGAGCCACUCGGCCACUCCCAACAAGCCGAAGCUGCAGGCCAUCACUAGCAGGGCAGGACUCUUUGUCUGAUCCAGCGAGGUGAUUUUUUUUUCUCAUUUUCUCAACCGCUAGAGCUGGGAGCUGUCGGUGGACUCUGCUAGGUGCUGUAUCAGAUGCUCACGCUUGGAAAUCCCGCUAGUGUCCUAUCCUAGAUGCUCAUAUGUACAAGUCUUGUGCAAAUGACCAAACGCAAGUGAAGUAGUCUAAUCUUGAAAUGGAAAGAAAAGGAAAUAGGGGUUGAAAAAUGGAAUAGGGACCCUUGCUGGAGUUGACUGCAAUAAAAAGAGCCCUAAAAAGUAGAGAAGCCUCUAUUUAGAAAAUAGGGACUCUGGAUUAGAGGCUAUUGCUGGAGUUGAUUUUAGUAUCUCUACUCCUAAAAAGUAAAUUGGCGAUUUGUCCGUCGCCGACCCUCGCACCUCCCCAUCUCGUCAGUCUGCCGCGCGCGAUUUUGCAACGUCUGAUCCCUAAUCUCGCCGCUGCAAGCGGGAGACCGAAAAAAACGCAACCCACCCGUCGUGCGACCCUCGCGCCUCCCCCUCGUCAGUCUGCCGUGAGCCAUCAACAGACGUCCGAUCCCUGGUUUCCUCGCUGCGAACGGUAGACCGCAACAGUCGCGAAAUCCCUAGACAACAUCGCCGAACCGUCACCCUCGAUCACGCGAUCGCCCUCGCCGCCGCCAUCGCGUCCUCCUCCUCCUCCGACGACGAGAUGAUCUGUGCCGAUCCGUCGCCGUCGACACCGCCUCCCUCAAGCCGGCGCCCCCCGCCCUCACCAUCGCCGCCUCCCCCGAUUCAUCGCCGUCGUCACCAGCCUCAUAUUCAUCGGAGACCUCACCAUUGUCUGCGCUUGCAACCCGCCGUGGCCGUCGGGCUCAGGGCGCGUUGGAAGCAGCCAUCCUACCUCGGCCGGCCUCCAUCGAUGCCGCCGCCGCUCGACAUCCUCCACGAGUUCACGCAGCGCAGGUCCCCUGCACUACUUUUAUUCCGUUGAACAACUGGCUAAUCGGUUCAUUCAUUGAGGCAGGAGUUCAGGAAGACAAGGGUGAACUUAAACUCCAUGAGGGAGCACCGGAGCACGCCUAUCUCCUCAGCUCGGUGCAUGAUGACAUUAUCAAGUCCAAGGGCCACUUGUUGUCUCAAUCUCUUCUGAUGCUGUUCCUGGAAGCUGAUGUCUCCAAGAGUGCAUUUGCUCAGGGUCAGGGACAAGACUUCUAUUCAUGGCAGCAUCAACCAGAAUUUACAAAAGGAAAACAUGAACGAAUUUAUCUCUGAGAUUGGGUGACCAUCGCAGUAACCACUGAGCUCAAGAGGUAAAAGGGAUAUCUUAGUUGUCUGUUCAGCUAUUAGAUAUGAUAGGUGUACCGAACUGAAUUGAAGAUAGUUUCUCAUGGUUCAUGGGUUUCUUGAAGAUUCACAUUUCUCAAUCUGCACCACUUCACUCCUAGAAUCCUGGUUGUGAGUAUAGUAAGAUAGACAAUCAAUAUGACUCCUGGAAUUCUGGUUGUGAGUACAGUAAGAUAGACAAUCUGUAUUUUUCCAGGUAUAGUCAUGCUCCAAUCUCAAUGUAAUAGUAUGUUUUUACUUUUUACAAAGAUAUCUGGAUGUCACGUGCACUCCCAGACUUAUACCUCCUUGCUGUGAAAACGUAAGAAUCUAUUAGUUGCACUAUAGAAACACCUUAUAAUAAUUGUAAUAACCAAUGGUUGUUUACAAAAAUUCAUUUCAAGGAAAAAUAAAAGAUUCUUUCUUUACUGUCA